rnacentral:lncRNA from 1 species
UUCUCUCUCCAUGAUUUAUGCUCUGCCUCUCUCUUUAAGAAAUGAUGAACGUUAGUUAGAAACUCCAUAAGAUUUCGACGAAAUGUCAUAAUCGCCAUCAUCUUCGAUCGUCGUCGACCACUCACCGACGAACGUCUGAUCAGCAGUUUCUCUGAAACUUGUCGUGAAACUCUUCUCAGUCUCAUCAUCUCGGAUCUUGGUACAGAUUUUUCAAAAAACCUUUUUGCUUUGCUUAAAUCUGCCUAAGAAGGUGGCGGAUCUAAACUCAGUUUCCUUGUUGUCCAGUCACCACCACCCCUAAGGUAUAUUAUCCCCUUUGUUUUUGGCUCUUUCCUCAUUCGAUUGGGAAGACCCAAAACUUUCUAGAUAAAACGCAAACGAAACCCCAAAAUUUUGCUUCUUUGUCUCUGACCUUGCUUUGUUGUUUUUUUUGUCUUGUUAGUAUUCCUUAUCGGCAGUGAAUGACCUUUUGGUGAAAGAUAAGCGAUGAAACUCGAUUUCUUUUGGGUUUCUAGGUUGUGAGGCUAUUUCUGUUAGGCUAGUGAAUUCCCUGAUUUAUUGGUUGAGAUUGAAUUUAAGACCAUGGUUGGGUGUGCCGUGUGCUACUGGGUUCUAUUAUGGUAGAUUUGUAGGUAGCGGAGUGAUUUUGCCCAGCUUUUGAUUUUGCGUUCCCUUGAGUUUUUUGCAUUCUUAAUGUGUGUUUCGAAUUCUUGCUGAGUAUUUGGUGGAUCAUCGAUUCUGGUGGAGCCCAACCGAAUAGGUGAUGGCCUUAGACCGAUCGAUGGUGACGGUGUCACAUGAAAAGUGGCUUUCAAUUUGGCAAUGGCGUUAACUUUUUGGUGUUUGCUAGUGAUCUCAGGUGGAGGUUUUUUGUUGUUGGAUGAAAAUUGAGUGUCCAAAACUUGUAUCUGGGGUUGAAAUUAGACUGAUUUUGGGUUCUGUUUGGGACUUGGUUUUAGGGUGGUAUUAUGGGUGUUGGUGGUGAUGGUUGAUAACUAUAGGUGUUGGUAGGGGUGAAUUGGUGAAGACAGUGAUCAAGAAUUAUGGUGACUUGAUCACUUGCUCGAUCUUUCUGCGUAAUUGCUCUCUCGAUUGAUCAACCUCGAAAAUAUCUUCCUCUAGAAUGGAAAGACUAGUUUUAUAGCACUUUGCCAGCAAAUAGGGCAAAAGAAACUUCAAAUGUAAAGUAGUUAAAUGUUCAAUAGAUGACUGAAGCUUUCGAAUAACGAUCAGCAAUGGAGCUACCCCACGCAAGGGCUCCUCAAGCAACAGCACUUUGUCCUUGAAUCUCUUACAAACAGAUGUAAA